UAGGGAAUCUUCGGCAAUGGACGAAAGUCUGACCGAGCAACGCCGCGUGAGUGAAGAAGGUUUUCGGAUCGUAAAACUCUGUUGUUAGAGAAGAACAAGGACGUUAGUAACUGAACGUCCCCUGACGGUAUCUAACCAGAAAGCCACGGCUAACUACGUGCCAGCAGCCGCGGUAAUACGUAGGUGGCAAGCGUUGUCCGGAUUUAUUGGGCGUAAAGCGAGCGCAGGCGGUUUCUUAAGUCUGAUGUGAAAGCCCCCGGCUCAACCGGGGAGGGUCAUUGGAAACUGGGAGACUUGAGUGCAGAAGAGGAGAGUGGAAUUCCAUGGGUAGCGGGGAAAUGCGUAGAUAUAUGGAGGAACACCAGUGGCGAAGGCGGCUCUCUGGUCUGUAACUGACGCUGAGGCUCGAAAGCGUGGGGAGCAAACAGG
rnacentral:rRNA from 1 species